rnacentral:lncRNA from 1 species
UAGACAAUGAAUGGAGAAAGAAGAUAAAAUGGUGAUACUUGUAGCACUGCUUUCUGGUUGCCCAGAGCCCCGCUGAACAUAGUGUUGAUGUCUACGUAGCGUAUGCUGAGUAUAUCAGUGCUGAAGAUAUGUUGUGGUGAAGGAUGAUGGGUAUGUCAAAGGGUCAGUGAAGACUAUUUUUCACUAAACCUGAUUUGUUAUAAAGUGAUUGUUUCUUCGGCCACCUAUAUUUGCCCAUUUUCAGCACUUGAGAAAAGUGAACAACUUGUUAGAGGAGGUGGAUUUGGCAUGCACUAUCCAUCAUCCAGUUAGUGGAGCUGAUAUUCGCUAUGAAGAAGUGUCUCAUCUUCCUCACUGCCCCACCUGCGAAUCAAUUGCCAUCCAUGGACAGGUAAGGUCAAGAUCUCCCGGGAAUAGCAGC